UACGUAGGGGGCUAGCGUUGUCCGGAAUCAUUGGGCGUAAAGAGCGUGUAGGCGGUUCGAUAAGUCCGCUGUGAAAGUCCAGGGCUCAACCCUGGAAUGCCGGUGGAUACUGUCGGGCUAGAGUCCGGAAGAGGCGAGUGGAAUUCCUGGUGUAGCGGUGAAAUGCGCAGAUAUCAGGAGGAACACCAAUGGCGAAGGCAGCUCGCUGGGACGGUACUGACGCUGAGACGCGAAAGCGUGGGGAGCGAACGGG
rnacentral:rRNA from 1 species